GCCUGGACACGUUUGUUUGCUCAGCUUUGAAGCUCAGAGCCAUUUCCCAGACCCUGAGCUGAGGAAGAAAGGGGGAGAGGCCGAGGACAUGGCUGGGGAGCGGGAGAGGCGGGUCAGACCCUCCUGGAUCCCACUGUAGAGUGUCUGAAACAGACAGAGCCUAAAAGAUGAUCUAAUCCAUCUCUUCUGACAGACAGGAAGUUAAGGACCAGAGAACAGCGAGGACUGGCCCAGGGCCCCCCCGGUUGGUCAGUGCCCGCCCCCCGCUCCAACGUCACACGGAUCAGCUGGAGCUUUGCCCUGGGAAGAGGAAGCUGGCAGGGAAGCUGACGGAUGCACAGUAGGCCUCAGCCUAAAGCAAGCCGCAUCGUGAACGGGAGCGCCAGAAGAGGCCUGGCACAUGGUGUGUAUUCAGCAAUAUACACAUUACAUUAAAAGAGGCUAUUUACAAUAGCCAGGACAUGGAAGCAACCUAAAUGUCCAUCAACAGAGGAAUGGCUAAAGAAGAUGUGGCAUAUAUAGACAAUGGAAUAUUAGCCAUAAGAAGGAAUGAAAUUGAGUUAUUUGUAGUGAGGUGGAUGGACCUAGAGACUGUCAUACAAAGUGAAGUAAGUCAGAAAGAGAAAAACAAAUACCAUAUGCUAAUGAAUAUAUAUGGAAUCUAGAAAAAUGGUACUGUUGAACCUAGUGGUGGGGCAGGAAUAAAGAUGCAGACAUUGAGAAAGGACUUGAGGACACUGGCAGGGGGGA